UUUCAUAUGAAAUGAACAUUACAGGAUUAUGAUUGUAAGAAAAAACUUUUGACAGAUUAUGAUGACACGUUACUUGAUUUGGGUAUAUCCGGCUCUUAUAACACUAGUAUUGAUAACGAUUGCAGAGUCUGGUGGUCAUAAUCCAAUAGUAAGCUCUGAGCAAAAUACAUAUGACAUCAUUACCGGAGGAGCUGUAACACUGAAAUGCACAAUUGACUCCUCACAUCACGACGUUACAGACAUUAUAUGGAAAAAAGAAGUUUCACAAAUAAAUCAAGAUACCAAAUAUGUUAUUUCUUACAAUGCUUUGGGUCAGAGAAGCGGAUCGACAACUCUAACAAUUAAUAACGUACAGUCUUCAGAUUUUGCAAAUUACUACUGCCAUGUAGCAAACCAGGACGGUUGGGGAUAUAGUUCAGCUAUUACUCUUAAUAUACAUGCACUACAUUUUCCAACAGUAUCGGUACAAACAACAUACAACGCUAACAUCGGAGUCUCAGAAACAUUUCAAUGUACAAUUUCAUCACCAGCACAUGUAAUUACUUCUAUUUCUUGGAGUAAAGAAUCAGUGAUACUAUCCG